UGAAUCCUGAAAUGUACGAUAACCUAUUAUUUUGAACCUACAUGACGUAAAGGGGCGUCCUACAUUUUAAAGCGAUAGUCAGGCCGCAAUCUAAUUCCCUUUGGGCGGCGGAAGGCUUGAGCUUUAUUGCGGACACCCACCUAGCACAAGCUAGGUGUCAAAAAAAUAGGACCGGCAUUUUGGGAUUUUU
rnacentral:other from 1 species